AUACGUAGGGUGCGAGCGUUGUCCGGAAUUACUGGGCGUAAAGAGCUCGUAGGUGGUUUGUCGCGUCGUCUGUGAAAUUCCGGGGCUUAACUCCGGGCGUGCAGGCGAUACGGGCAUAACUUGAGUACUGUAGGGGAGACUGGAAUUCCUGGUGUAGCGGUGAAAUGCGCAGAUAUAAGGAGGAACACCGGUAGCGAAGGCGGGUCUCUGGGCAGUAACUGACGCUGAGGAGCGAAAGCAUGGGUAGCGAACAGGAUUAGAUACCCUGGUAGUCCAUGCCGUAAACGGUGGGCGCUAGGUGUAGGGGUCUUCCACGACUUCUGUGCCGUAGCUAACGCAUUAAGCGCCCCGCCUGGGGAGUACGGCCGCAAGGCUAAAACUCAAAGGAAUUGACGGGG
rnacentral:rRNA from 1 species